AUAUGGCAGCCUCCCAAGCUCCUCUGAACUCAAGACAUCUACUCUGUUGAAACCUUUCAGUUGCAGCUUUAGGUAGAGCUAAAGAAGGCUGAUCAUGAGGCUCCUCGGCAUAUUCCUGCUGCUCUCUGUGGCUCUGUGCUGCUUCAUGGAUACUGUUCAAGCUCAAGCAUUCCCCCGACUGGCUAAAUGUGAUCCCAAUUUUCCUGCAUGUCCACAAAACUAUGACCCUGUCUGUGGCAUGGAUGGACAUACCUAUAGCAAUGAAUGUGAUCUAUGUCAGCAAAGCAAGAAUAGUGCUGUUCCCUUCAUCAUCAAAAAACAAGGGAAAUGCUGAGGACCCCAAGUAUCCUGGAGCCCCUAUUAGUGUGGUAGCAUGGCUAGCUUACCUGAGUUUUAAAUAAAUGCAUUAGAUUGAUUACUGCUCUUUAUGUG
rnacentral:lncRNA from 1 species